rnacentral:rRNA from 1 species
GACGAACGCUGGCGGCGUGCUUAAUACAUGCAAGUCUAAGGGUUUAUCUUCCUUCGGGAAGAUAGACACUGGCGCACGGGUGAGUAACACGUAAGUCAUCUGCCCUUGGGUCUGGCACAACUCCGGGAAACCGGGGCUAAUUCCAGAUGAUACCGAAAGGUCAAAGUUUCGACGCCCAAGGAUGAGCUUGCGUCUGAUUAGCUAGUUGGCGGGGUAAUGGCCCACCAAGGCGACGANCAGUAGCCGGUCUGAGAGGAUGAUCGGCCACAUUGGGACUGAGACACGGCCCAGACUCCUACGGGAGGCAGCAGUAAGGAAUAUUGCGCAAUGGACGAAAGUCUGACGCAGCAACGCCGCGUGCAGGAUGACGGCCCUUUGGGUUGUAAACUGCUGUAGCAGGGGAAUAAGAGCCCACUCGGUGGGUGUGAAGGUACCCUGAAGUAAGCUCCGGCUAACUACGUGCCAGCCGCCGCCGUAAU